rnacentral:rRNA from 1 species
AGUAACGGCGAGUGAAGCGGCAACAGCCCAAAUUUGAAAUCUGGCCUCUUUGGGGUCCGAGUUGUAAUUUGUAGAGGAUGUUUCGGGUACCGCCUCGGUUUAAAUUUCUUGGAACAGAAUGUCAAAGAGGGUGAGAAUCCCGUCUUGGACCGGCGGUAGGGCCCAUGUGAAACUCCUUCGACGAGUCGAGUUGUUUGGG